AUGAUGGCUUGCUGCCCAGUCGCGCUCGCGAUAGAGGUGGAGGUGGCACUUGGCGUUUCUGCGACUUCCAGGCUAGGUGCGGGGUUUGGGGAACAGCAAGCUACCCCCAGAGAAGCCCGAGGCAGGGGCGGGCCCAAACCUGGGACGGGGGAUGGGGGGCCCCCCCGCAGGAGGACCCGCCAGCUCCCAGCUUCCCCUGCCGGCCUCGCCCCAGCCCCGCACCCCCGACUCACCCCUAUUUCUGAGGACGCGGACGCUGGGUGCUCCGAGCUGGUUUUCCGGGCGAUGAGGGAGCCUCGGGGAGGGCGGGCUGCUGACCCCCACCCCAGCCUCAGGGCCCGGCAGGUCCGCCCCCAAGGUCACGGCCCCUUGUGCCCCAGCUCCCCGCGUCCGCGUCCCUGGGGCCCUGCUCACCUGCUCCCCGCGGGCCGCCUUUUUACGUUGGUAUUUUCUCUGAAAAUCCUGGGUCGAAGCGCUGGGAGCCCUGCGAUCUCCAAGCCGCGGGGGCGGGGGGCUCACUCUGGCCGCAGCCUCCCCGGCCAGGCACCGGGCUUGUGGGCACCCCCUCUGCACUGGGGGCUCCCCCGUCUGUGCUGGGGGCCCCCCUCUCUGCACUGGGGGCUCCCCUCUGUGCUGGGGGCCCCCUCUGUGCUGGGCGCCCCCUGCACUGGGGGCUCCCUCUCUGCUCUGGGCCCCCCUCUGGGCUGGGGGCUCCCCUCUCUGCGCUGGGCCCCCCCUGGGCUGGGGGCUCUCUGUGCUGGGGGCCCUCUCUGUGCUGGGGGCCCCCCUCUUCUGGGGCCCCCCUCUCUGCUGGCCCCCUGUCCUGGGGGCCCCCUCUCUAUUCCGGGGGCCCCUCUCUGUCCUGGGGACCCUCUCUGGCUGAGGCUCCCCUUUCUGUGCUGGGGCCCCCCUCUCUGUGCUGCCCCCCCACCCCCUGCUGGGGGCCCUCUGAGUGCCAGUGAGGGGUGUGGCCAGCUCGGCUGGAGGUGGCUGGGGGGAAUCCCUCAAGCCCAGAGGGCUCUCAGGGAAGGCCUCCGCCUGCACCAGCUGAGGGCCGGGGUGGGCCUCCAGAGUCUCCCCUUCCUGGGAGCAUGUUAA
rnacentral:lncRNA from 12 species